CCUGAUCCAGCAAUGCCGCGUGUGUGAAGAAGGCCUUCGGGUUGUAAAGCACUUUUGUCCGGAAAGAAAUCCUUGGCUCUAAUACAGUCGGGGGAUGACGGUACCGGAAGAAUAAGCACCGGCUAACUACGUGCCAGCAGCCGCGGUAAUACGUAGGGUGCAAGCGUUAAUCGGAAUUACUGGGCGUAAAGCGUGCGCAGGCGGUUUGCUAAGACCGAUGUGAAAUCCCCGGGCUCAACCUGGGAACUGCAUUGGUGACUGGCAGGCUAGAGUAUGGCAGAGGGGGGUAGAAUUCCACGUGUAGCAGUGAAAUGCGUAGAGAUGUGGAGGAAUACCGAUGGCGAAGGCAGCCCCCUGGGCCAAUACUGACGCUCAUGCACGAAAGCGUGGGGAGCAAACAGGAUUAGAUACCCUGGUAGUCCACGCCCUAAACGAUGUCAACUAGUUGUUGGGGAUUCAUUUCCUUAGUAACGUAGCUAACGCGUGAAGUUGACCGCCUGGGGAGUACGGUCGCAAGAUUAAAACUCAAAGGAAUUGACGG
rnacentral:rRNA from 1 species